CGGACCGUACGAACGGACGAACGCUGGCGGCGUGCCUAAUACAUGCAAGUUGAACGCAACAAAGACACCAGAGCUUGCUCUGCCGUCUUUGUUGAGUAGCGAACGGGUGAGUAACGCGUGGGUAACCUGCCUUAUAGCGGGGAUAACUAUUGGAAACGAUAGCUAAUACCGCAUAACAAUAGAGAUUGCAUAAUCUUUAUUUGAAAGUGCCAACUGGUACACUAUGAGAUGGACCCGCGUUGUAUUAGCUAGUUGGUAGUGUAAUGGACUACCAAGGCGAUGAUACAUAGCCGACCUGAGAGGGUGAUCGGCCACAUUGGGACUGAGACACGACCCAAACUCCUACGGGAGGCAGCAGUAGGGAAUCUUCGGCAAUGGACGAAAGUCUGACCGAGCAACGCCGCGUGAGUGAAGAAGGUUUUCGGAUCGUAAAACUCUGUUGUUAGAGAAGAAUGUUGAUUAGAGUGGAAAAUUAAUCAAGUGACGGUAUCUAACCAGAAAGGGACGGCUAACUACGUG
rnacentral:rRNA from 1 species